AGAGUUUGAUCCUGGCUCAGGACGAACGCUGGCGGUGUGCCUCACACAUGCAAGUCGAACGAGGUAGCAAUACCUAGUGGCGGACGGGUGAGUAACGCGUGGGAAUCUGCCUUCAGGUAGGGGAUAGCAGGCCGAAAGGCCUAUUAAUACCGUAUACGUGUACAUCCCGACAGGGAUAUACAUAAAAGGAGCAAUCCGCC
rnacentral:rRNA from 1 species